UUUUAGUAUGGAAGGAGAGACCUUUAGCACUCCCCUAGACAAGGAUGGAAUACAUAUAUAAAUGUUAAGGUACUGUCGCAUUUGGGCGACAUUUACCAUAUUUUUUU